GAUACUGCAAAACGUUCUAUGUCACUUAUUACCUCUGGUGCUUAAUUGAUCUGUUAUCUGUAUCUGAUAGCUUCUGGAAACCGUUCAUCAGCCAAAGGUAGACAGUUUGGUCACUCACUUUACAGCCGCAUUCCGGUGCACAUAAGAGACCAUCUAUAUUUCUAAUUAGUUUGACAAAACUUUUAUUACUGGAAAUAAUCAUAACGCAAAGUCUUCUCCUGAGUUUUGGUCAGUGCACGCCAGCAUGUAUCGGAAACGGACACCUUUUCAAGAACGUAAAACCGUGGGGAGGGGUGGCAUCGCCGGCUAAAAGUAGUUGUUGGAGGAAGCAAUUCCCAGCCAGAUUUAUAAUCUUGUAUUGAAUUUACAAGAACUU